rfam:Camelus ferus unplaced genomic scaffold scaffold731, whole genome shotgun sequence.
GAGGGUGUAGCUCAAGUGGUAGAGUGCAUGCUUAGCAUGCAGGAGGUCCUGGGUUCAAUCCCCAGUACCUCCU